rnacentral:rRNA from 1 species
CGUACACUCCUGCGGGAGGCAGCAGUGGGGAAUAUUGGACAAUGGGCGCAAGCCUGAUCCAGCCAUGCCGCGUGAGUGAUGAAGGCCCUAGGGUUGUAAAGCUCUUUCACCGGUGAAGAUAAUGACGGUAACCGGAGAAGAAGCCCCGGCUAACUUCGUGCCAGCAGCCGCGGUAAUACGAAGGGGGCUAGCGUUGUUCGGAUUUACUGGGCGUAAAGCGCACGUAGGCGGACUAUUAAGUCAGGGGUGAAAUCCCGGGGCUCAACCCCGGAACUGCCUUUGAUACUGGUAGUCUUGAGUUCGAGAGAGGUGAGUGGAAUUCCGAGUGUAGAGGUGAAAUUCGUAGAUAUUCGGAGGAACACCAGUGGCGAAGGCGGCUCACUGGCUCGAUACUGACGCUGAGGUGCGAAAGCGUGGGGAGCAAACAGGAUUAGAAACCCCAGUAGUCCC